CAGCCGUAAACUAUGCGCGUUAGGUGUAUCGGUGACCACGAGUUACCGAGGUGCCGAAGGGAAACCGUGAAACGUGCCGCCUGGGAAGUACGGUUGCAAGGCUGAAACUUAAAGGAAUUGGCGGGGGAGCACCACAACAGGUGGAGCCUGCGGUUUAAUUGGACUCAACGCCGGGAAGCUCACCGGAUAGGACAGCAGAAUGAUUGCCGGGCUGAAGACCCUGCAUGACUAGCAGAGAGGUGGUGCAUGGCGUCAGUGACU
rnacentral:rRNA from 1 species